AGUAGAGUUUGGAGGUGCACCAUUGGAAGAGUACUGAGCUUUCAGAGGAUUUCAGCUACAACAUUACAACUGAAAAGAAUCGCUGAACAGCAAGGACAGUGAAGGAGUGCUAUAAAAAAAAAAAAAAAACGACAUCCAUAACCCAUACAUUUUUGGGGGGGUAAGUGUGGUUUUCAAUUAUUGUGUUACGUGUCUUUUCAUUAUGAUCAGAGUUUUAGUUUGUGUUUGUAAAAGUGCAAUUUUGUCAGAACAAUCUUCAUUGACAAGGCAAUAACUGGUCCACUUCCUCUCUAACUCUGUUCCUUGAACUCAGUCAACCAUGUUCUUAUCAUCUCAAGUGAAGUUCUUAAUCCAGGUACCAGAACUUUUUACCUUGGUCCUGGAAUCAUUUCAAGAACUCCUUAAAACUGCAAUGCUUUGACCUGAUAGACGAAUUCAAGGCAAUUGUUGCCGGCUUGCCGCAGGAAGUGUGCAACUGUUUUCACUCUUAAUGGCUACAUUUGUUUUAAUGUGACGGUGGUAAGUGUUGUCACUGAUAUUCAUGUUUUUGCUGUGCAUGUGUUGUGGUAAAUGUGUAAAAACAGUACAUCUUAAGAUACCAUUCUCAUUUGUACAUUUGCAAAUUUGGCAGGAAAUCUAUACAUUUACAGUUUUUACACAAACACAUGCACUGUACUGCAUAUCCAUUUUUUUAAUGAGCUGCCAUAUAUGCUAGGUCUCCAUCAAAAUAGAUGCCUUCUGAUCUUAAUGGGACUUCCUGUAUGAAUAAAUAGUGGUCAAAAUAUUAAUAAAUUACUGUUAGAAUACAACUGUGAAUUAGUCAAAUAUUCAACCCUAGCAACAAUACUGUACAAAAACAGGGACAAAAUCAGACAAAAAGUCUGACGUACAUUUACCAUUCGUGAUCUCUUUCCACAAUAUUCCAAUUGAUUUUAUGUUUGUCAAUGUCAUUCUGUUUGUAACUAUUUGUCUUUUAUCUUUACAUUAAUCUUGUGUGCCCAUCUCUCUGUGACUACAGACUAAAAAGAGAACUGUUUCAAAAAUGAACUGGAAAAUUCUCAUAGUCCUUCUUCUGAUUGUAGCUAAGUUCAUUCUCUAGUCUUUAAAUUGUAGAUCAUGUCGAAAUUCGAAAAGAUAUUCUAAAAUCUAUGCUUUUUAAUUUGCAACAGCAUCAGGGAAUGCCCAAAACCCAACAACUAAAGCCCCCGCAACAACCACAGCUCCCCCCGCGACCACCACAGCUGGCAUGACGACUAGCACAAUUGUGGUCACAACAACCAAAGCUGCAUCAACUACAACCACAGCUUCUGCCACAACUACGUCUUCUCCAACUACAACCACAGCUAGCGUUACAACAACCACAGAACCUGUUACUCCUACCCCCUACUUUUUUGAACAUUCUGUUAAAAAUCGCGCAACAUUUCAGCGCCCUGCUACUCAUGCCAGGAAUAUAGUAUAUGCAUAUGAUUAGUAUGUGUGGAUAGAAAACACUCAGACGUUUAUAAAACUGGUUAAAUCACGGCUGUGACUAUAACAGAUCGUGAGUUUCAUCCAAAAGCGCAGGAAAACCUGAUCACUGAAAAUGGAAAAAUAUAUUGCUGCGCGACUUGAACCCAUUGAUAAAGGUGAACCACAAUUAAUGGGGAUGAGGUUGCAGUACCUACAGCUUCCACACGGUGUCUAGAGUCUUGUCAUUUGCCUACGAUUUGUUUCUUGGUCAAACAGAUACAAGGCAGCACAGUUCUUCAGGUCUAGGACCGGAUAUUUUGGUUGAGUUUCUAGCCGGACAUUUUUCCAGACGGACAGCUAUAGAAAAUACUUCGUCUUGUGAUUAAUUUGAUUGCUUAUUAAAGUUUACUAAUACCUAAAGUUGCAUUACAAAAGUAUUUCGAAGUGUUUUGUGAAAGUUUAUCGUCGACUUUUUGAAUUUAAAAAAAUGACGUUACGUUAUGAAACGCUGUUUUUUUCCGUUGAUCACACAGUCUACAUAUAACGAUAUCUAGGCUAUAUAUGGACCGAUUUAAUCGAAAAAAAGACCCAAUAGUGAUUAUGGGACAUCUAGGAGUGCCAACAAAGAAGAUGGUCAAAGGUAAUGAAUGUUUUCUAUUUUAUUGUGCGGUUUGUGUAGCGCCGAAUAUGCUAAUUAUUUUGUUUACGUCCCCUGCGGGUCUUUUGUGGUGUUACAUGCUAUCAGAUAAUAGCUUCUCAUGCUUUCGCCGAAAAGCAUUUUAAAAAUCUGACUUGUUGCCUGGAUUCACAACGAGUGUAGCUUUAAUUCAAUACCCUGCAUGUGUAUUUUAAUGAAUGUUUGAGUUUUAACUAAUACUAUUAGCAUUUAGCGUAGUGCAUUUGCAUUUCCAGAGCUCUAGAUGGGACGCAAGCGUCCCGAGUAGAAGCAAGAGUUUUAAGACAACCACAGCUUCUGCGGCAACAAAUACAACUGCACCCACUUCAACCACAGUCGCACAAACAACUCCUAUUCCACCCAUAACCACCACAACCACAGACUCAACAGCAGCACCGACAGCGAAUGAGGGGUCAGUGGGAUUAGGAUUCAGAAUGAUCCGUGCAUUCCUCAAUGAGUAUUCUGACUCUUCCACAUCAGCAUAUCAGGAACUUGCAGCAUAUCUUUUAACACCAUGACACUGACUUCCCUGCUUUAAUUACUGAUUGAAAUUAUUGAUACUAAUACAGUUUUCCCCACAGGUGGGUCGUGUUUACAAAAAGGUUCCCCCUUUAACAUACUUAAGGUGUAGGAUUAUUCAGUUCACGAAUGGCUCAAUGUAUUGCCAAAUUGGCCCUUAUUUUCAAGAACUCGACAGUGGUUCCCAGUGCAUCGACUGUAAGGCAAGAAUUUAUUGACGCUGUGUAUCAGGACAACACCAUCCUCAAUGUUGAUGCAACCUCCAUUACUGCAGGGACACCAACCACAGCUUCAAGUCUACUCACAAUCUUUCUGGUUGUAUUGUCACACCUGCUUCACUACUAUUGAGACUGAUGACCACAGCGGCAGCGCAACUUGCCAGUCAAUCCAAUUAUAUAACAGUUUUUAAUAGAAGUGUAUAGCAUUCAUUCGUAUUAAUUAUCCAAAUAUGUACAUUGUAAAGAUGAAUUGCUAUGGAGAACAUGACAAUAUUGAACACCUUGAGGAUAAUGUAAAAAUCUGAAUAUGGGUAGCUUUCGUUCUACUUACUGCACUGCCUUGAUUUUGAACAUUUGUUGAUAUGCAAUAUUGUUUUAUAAUUCAGCAUGACCCAUGCUUUGAAUGAAUGAAGGAAACGCUGGUUUCAUUAGCUUCGCUGUACUAAUUAAGAAAUGACAUGAAAAGACAUUCACAUCCCUCUUGAGUUACCAAAGUUCAAAAUGAAUGAACUAAAAGGGUUUAAGCUAAACAGGACAUUCUUUGUUUACAAUGGCAACAGAGGUGCAGCUGCUCGGGACAGAGGGGCAGCUGCUCGGGACAGAGGGGCUCUUUUGCCUCUGGGCUGAGGGGCUCUGGCGCCUCUGGGCUGAGGGGUGGCUCAGGCGGCGCUGGGCUGAGGGGUGGCUCAGGCGGCGCUGGGCUGAGGGGUGGCUCAGGCGGCGCUGGGCUGAGGGGUGGCUCAGGCGGCGCUGGGCAGACGGGAGGCUCAGGCGGCGCUGGGCAGACGGGAGGCUCAGAUGGCGCUGGGCAGACGGGAGGCUCAGAUGGCGCUGGGCAGACGGGAAGCUCCGGCAACGCUGGAGAGGAAGGCUCUGGCAGCGCUGGACUGAGUAGCUCUGGCGACUCUGGAAUGAGGGGCUCUAGCGCCUCUGGAAUGAGGGGCGGGGGCUCUGGUAGCGCCGAACAGGCGGGAGACUCCGGCUGCGCUGGAGAGGAGGAAGCCUCCGGCAACGCUGGACAGGCGGGAGCCCCUGUAAGGAUGAGCCGGAGAGACAGCCUGGUGCGGGGGGCUGCCACCGGAGGGCUGGUGCGUGGAGAUGGUGACGGAUAGACCGGGCCGUGCAGGCGCACUGGAGCUCUUGAGCACCGAGCCUGCCCAACCUUACCCGGUUGAAUGGUCCCGGUCGCCCUGCCAGUGCGGCGAGGUGGAAUAGCCCGCACUGGGCUAUGCAGGCGAACCGGGGACACAGUGCGCAAGGCUCGUGCCAUGUAAGCCGGCCCAAGGAGACGCACUGGAGACCAGCUGCGUAGAGCCGGCUUCAUGGCACUUGGCUCAAUGCUCACUCUAGCCCGGCCGAUACGCGGAGCUGGAAUGUACCGCACCGGGCUAUGCACCCGCACUGGGGACACCGUGCGCUUCACAGCAUAACACGGUGCCUGUCCGGUCUCUCUAGCCCCCCGGGAAGCACAGGAAGUUGGCGCAGGUCUCCUACCUGUGUGCCCCCCCCAAGAAACUUUUGGGGCUGACUCUCGGGCUUCCAUCCACGUCGCCGUGCCGCCUCCUCAUACCAGCGCCUCUCCGCUUUCGCCGCCUCCAGUUCUUCUUUGGGGCGGCGAUAUUCUCCAGGCUGAGCCCAGGGUCCUUCUCCGUCCAAUUCGUCCAUUCCUCUCGCUGCUCCUGCUGCCGUUUCUCCUGCUACACCUUGAGGCGGCGACACUCCCGUGGCUUUGCCCAGGGUCCUCUCCCGUCAAGGAUUUCUUCCCAAGUCCAGAAGUCCUUAUUACGCUGCUCCUGCUGCUGCCCGUUACCACGCCGCUUGGUCCUGUUGUGGUGGGUGAUUCUGUAAGGGUUUUCCUGUGGUGAAGGAGAAGCGGACCAAAAUGCAGCGUGGUGGUUAUUCAUGUUCUUUAAUAAAGGAACUAGACAUGAAAUAACUAACAAAACAAUAAAUGUGGAAAACCAAAAACAGUCCUAUCUGGUGCAAACACAGAGACAGGAACAAUCACCCACAAACACACAGUGAAACCCAGGCUACCUAAGUAUGAUUCUCAAUCAGAGACAACUAAUGACACCUGCCUCUGAUUGAGAACCAUACUAGGCCGAAACAUAGAAAUACCCAUAACCUAGAAAAACAAACAUAGACUGCCCACCCAGCUCACGCCAUGACCAUACUAAAUAAAUACAAAACAAAGGAAAUAAGUGUAUAUACAUUUCCUAUGUAUGGUAAGAGGAAAGGACUCACUAUCACCAUCUUCCCGCUGUUGGUCUAAUAUAGAUGUAUACAUCCAAGACGGGUAGAUGGCGUGGUUAAGACAGCUUAUUAUUUGAGGAUUUGAUCUGAUAAAAACAAAACAGAAAUUGGCUACCUGGGGCCUGUUGCACAAAACUAGGAUAAGGGAUUAAGCCAGGAUAUCUUGGUGAUCCUGGCUCAAUUGAUCCGUAAUCCGGUUGCACUAAAGAUGGAUAGGGGGCAGGAGGAUAUGUUAUGGUAUAAAUUACCAUGGAGAUUUAUUCUGUGGAGCUAGCCUGCUCCAGACCAGGCUAAAUUCCAGGAUUUAUUUAAUCUCAUCCCUAAUGUCAGUCAGCAGUCACCACAAAUGGAAACCAAUAGUUAUUUCACUGCUCACUAUACAUUGUUAUCACAUAUAACUAGACCCACUGUUAUUAUUUAAACGUUUGUGAUCAUUAAUUUCAAUGAUUUUGGAUAAAAAAUGAUUUU